rnacentral:rRNA from 1 species
GAUGAACGCUAGCUACAGGCUUAACACAUGCAAGUCGAGGGGAAACGACAUUGAAGCUUGCUUCGAUGGUCGUCGACCGGCGCACGGGUGAGUAACGCGUAUCCAACCUGCCUCUGACCAAGGGAUAACCCGUCGAAAGUCGGCCUAAUACCUUAUGCAGUCGUCGGAAGUCAUCUGAUGACGACGAAAGAUUUCAUCGGUGAGAGAUGGGGAUGCGUCUGAUUAGCUUGUUGGCGGGGUAACGGCCCACCAAGGCAACGAUCAGUAGGGGUUCUGAGAGGAAGGUCCCCCACAUUGGAACUGAGACACGGUCCAAACGCCUACGGGAGGCAGCAGUGAGGAAUAUUGGUCAAUGGGCGAGAGCCUGAACCAGCCAAGUAGCGUGCAGGAUGACGGCCCUAUGGGUCGUAAACUGCUUUUAUGCGGGGAUAAAGUGAGGGACGUGUCCUUCAUUGCAGGUACCGCAUGAAUAAGGACCGGCUAAUUCCGUG